GGAAGACUUAAGAUGGCGGCGUUUGCACGGAGUGCAAUCACUGCGUCCUUACGGGGGUUGCAAGGCGUCCGAAGUAUGAGUCCACUAACAAAAGUCCAGAAACUCGCCAGUUAAUAGUAUUGUGUCUCUUCAAAAUAUCGGAGAAUAAUUUCUUUCUCGCUGAUCGCCUAACUUCUACUGACGAAGCUUGGAAGUUGCAGAAGGUUGGAGUGCAAUGGCGCGAUCUCGGCUGACUGCAACCUCCACCUCCUGGAUUCAAGCUAUUCUCCUGCCUCAGCCUGCCGAGUAGCUGGGAUUACAGGCGUGAGCCACCGCGCCCGGCCAGAACAUUAGUUUUAAACUUCCUAACCCUUGGGAGAAGGCAAAACACUUGAUGAAAUCUACAUAAAGACUAAAACAUUUUACCAAUUUUGCAUUGUUUGUUUGAAAUUGCAUUGACGACUGGUAUGUUAAUUUUGUAUAUAUUUUUAUGAGAACAAUGUUGGACAUCAUUUAAUUUU
rnacentral:lncRNA from 10 species